rnacentral:rRNA from 1 species
AUUGAACGCUGGCGGCAUGCCUUACACAUGCAAGUCGAACGGCAGCGGACCUUCGGGUGCCGGCGAGUGGCGAACGGGCGAGUAAUACAUCGGAACGUGCCCAGUAGUGGGGGAUAGCCCGGCGAAAGCCGGAUUAAUACCGCAUACGACCUACGGGUGAAAGCGGGGGAUCGCAGGACCUCGCGCUAUUGGAGCGGCCGAUGUCAGAUUAGGUAGUUGGUGGGGUAAAGGCCUACCAAGCCUACGAUCUGUAGCUGGUCUGAGAGGGCGACCAGCCACACUGGGACUGAGACACGGCCCAGACUCCUACGGGAGGCAGCAGUGGGGAAUUUUGGACAAUGGGCGCAAGCCUGAUCCAGCCAUGCCGCGUGCGGGAAGAAGGCCUUCGGGUUGUAAACCACUUUUGUCAGGGAAGAAACGCUCUGGGUUAAUACCUCGGGGUAAUGACGGUACCUGAAGAAUAAGCACCGGCUAACUACGUGCCAGCAGCCGCCGUAAUAC